rnacentral:rRNA from 1 species
UACGGAGGGUGCAAGCGUUAUCCGGAUUUACUGGGCUUAAAGGGCGCGUAGGCGGGUCUGUAAGUCAGUGGUGAAAUCUUCGAGCUUAACUCGGAAACUGCCAUUGAUACUAUAGGUCUGGAAUUAUCUGGAGGUGAGCGGAAUAUGUCAUGUAGCGGUGAAAUGCUUAGAUAUGACAUAGAACACCAAUUGCGAAGGCAGCUCACUACGGAUAUAUUGACACUGAGGCACGAAAGCGUGGGGAUCAAACAGG